ACAAUGAAGAGUUUGAUCCUGGCUCAGGAUGAACGCUAGCUACAGGCUUAACACAUGCAAGUCGAGGGGCAGCAUUUUAGUUUGCUUGCAAACUGAAGAUGGCGACCGGCGCACGGGUGAGUAACACGUAUCCAACCUGCCGAUAACUCCGGAAUAGCCUUUCGAAAGAAAGAUUAAUACCGGAUGGCAUACGAAUAUCGCAUGAUAUUUUUAUUAAAGAAUUUCGGUUAUCGAUGGGGAUGCGUUCCAUUAGUUUGUUGGCGGGGUAACGGCCCACCAAGACUACGAUGGAUAGGGGUUCUGAGAGGAAGGUCCCCCACAUUGGAACUGAGACACGG
rnacentral:rRNA from 1 species